AUGAACGCUAGCGGCAGGCUUAAUACAUGCAAGUCGAGGGGCAGCAGCUUUGUAGCAAUACAGGGGCUGGCGACCGGCAAACGGGUGCGGAACACGUACGCAAACCUUUCCUUUAACUGGAAGAUAGCCACCGAAAGUGGAUUAAUACACCGUAACAUAACGAUGUGGCAUCACAUUGUUAUUAUAGCUUCGGCGCUUCUUGAUGGGUGUGCGGCUGAUUAGAUAGUUGGCGGGUAACGGCCCACCAAGUCUACGAUCAGUAGCUGAUGUGAGAGCAUGAUCAGCCACACGGGCACUGAGACACGGGCCCGACUCCUACGGGAGGCAGCAGUAAGGAAUAUUGGUCAAUGGACGCAAGUCUGAACCAGCCAUGCCGCGUGAAGGAUUAAGGUCCUCUGGAUUGUAAACUUCUUUUAUCUGGGACGAAAAAAGGCGAUUCUUCGUCACUUGACGGUACCAGAUGAAUAAGCACCGGCUAACUCCGUG
rnacentral:rRNA from 1 species